rnacentral:tRNA from 1 species
AGCCCUGUAGUCUAGUGGUCAAGGAUAUCAGGUUCUGGCCCUGAAGACCACGGUUCGAAUCCGUGCAGGGCUA